rnacentral:rRNA from 1 species
CCUACGGUGUGCAGCAGUGGGGAAUAUUGCACAAUGGGGAAACCCUGAUGCAGCGACGCCGCGUGAGUGAAGAAGUAUCUCGGUAUGUAAAGCCCUAUCAGCAGGGAAGAAAAUGACGGUACCUGACUAAGAAGCCCCGGCUAACUACGUGCCAGCAGCCGCGGUAAUACGUAGGGGGCAAGCGUUAUCCGGAUUUACUGGGUGUAAAGGGAGCGUAGACGGCGUUACAAGUCCGGGGUGAAAGCCCAUGGCUUAACCAUGGUACUGCUCUGGAAACUGUGGAGCUUGAGUGCGGGAGGGGCAGGCGGAAUGCCUGGUGUAGCGGUGAAAUGCGUAGAGAUUAGGAGGAACACCGACUGCGAAGGCGGCCUGCUGGACCAUAACUGACGUUGAGGCUCGAAAGCGUGGGGAGCAAACAGGAUUAGAUACCCCUGUAGUC